AUUGAACGCUGGCGGCAUGCCUUACACAUGCAAGUCGAACGGCAGCACGGGAGCUUGCUCCUGGUGGCGAGUGGCGAACGGGUGAGUAAUAUAUCGGAACGUACCCUAGAGUGGGGAUAACGCAGCGAAAGUUGCGCUAAUACCGCAUACGAUCUACGGAUGAAAGUGGGGGAUCGCAAGACCUCAUGCUCAUGGAGCGGCCGAUAUCUGAUUAGCUAGUUGGUGGGGUAAAGGCCUACCAAGGCAUCGAUCAGUAGCUGGUCUGAGAGGACGACCAGCCACACUGGGACUGAGACACGGCCCAGACUCCUACGGGAGGCAGCAGUGGGGAAUUUUUGGACAAUGGGCGCAAGCCUGAUCCAGCAAUGCCGCGUGCAGGAUGAAGGCCUCGG
rnacentral:rRNA from 1 species